GACGAACGCUGGCGGCGUGCUUAACACAUGCAAGUCGAACGGAAAGGCCCUGCUUGCAGGGUACUCGAGUGGCGAACGGGUGAGUAACACGUGGGUGAUCUGCCCUGCACUUCGGGAUAAGCCUGGGAAACUGGGUCUAAUACCGGAUAGGACCAUCGUUUAGUGUCGGUGGUGGAAAGUUUUUCGGUGCAGGAUGAGCUCGCGGCCUAUCAGCUUGUUGGUGGGGUGAUGGCCUACCAAGGCGUCGACGGGUAGCCGGCCUGGGAGGGUGGGCGGGAACAGUGGGACUGAGACGCGGGCCAGACUCCUACGGGAGGCAGCAGUGGGGAAUAUUGCACAAUGGGCGCAAGCCUGAUGCGGCGACGCCGCGUGGGGGAUGAAGGCCUUCGGGUUGUAAACUCCUUUCAACCAUGACGAAGCGUAAGUGACGGUAGUGGUAGAAGAAGCACCGGCUAACUACGUGCCAGCCGCCGCCGUAA
rnacentral:rRNA from 1 species